UACAGAGGUCCCAAGCGUUGUUCGGAUUCAUUGGGCGUAAAGGGUGCGUAGGCGGCGCGGUAAGUCGGGUGUGAAAUUUCGGAGCUUAACUCCGAAACUGCAUUCGAUACUGCGGUGCUUGAGGACUGGAGAGGAGACUGGAAUUUACGGUGUAGCAGUGAAAUGCGUAGAUAUCGUAAGGAAGACCAGUGGCGAAGGCGGGUCUCUGGACAGUUCCUGACACUGAGACACGAAGGCCAGGGGAGCAAACGGG
rnacentral:rRNA from 1 species